GAACUAAUUAGGACCGUUGGAUCUAACUUAGAUGCGCCGUUGGAUCUAACUUAGAUGCGCGCUUGAUGAGCAGCCCAAAUUAAUUCACAAUAAGCGCACUUUAUGCCAUUUCUCUCUCCUCAAGCGCAGCGAACUUCCUGGCUACAUCCAUUGAAGCGGAUUUCGAGCUUUCUCUACUCCAUUGAAGCAGCUUCUGAAGUAAGAUGUUUGUUUUCCUCUUUUUUGAAUCACGAAUUGCAAUUUCACUAUCUAUGGUAAAUCGUUAAUUAUUUUGUCAAUUUAGGAUUCUUUAUAUUGAAAUUCGAGCUUUUGAGGUUAUGAAUGAUUAUACGAUUAAUUUUUUUGCUAGAAUUACUAAACACCUAGAUCUGAAAGUAUCUCUGGGUUAUGAUUUUUUGAAUGUUUUUAGCUUAUGAUUUGGAGCUCGAUUCUAAACACUAGUGAGAUUUUCAUGCCUGAAUUUGUCUUCUUUUUUUUUUUUACUUUACAUUGAAUUAAUUUUGAUUAUUCAAUUAUUGUUGUUGAUUUCUUAAUGCACACUAAGUGUUUGACAAAAUGCCUCAAUGAAUCCUACUAUUUAAUCAAUUUCAAAAAUAGAUAUAUAUAGGUUCGCAAGCCUAGUUGCUAAUUUAAGCUAUUUUCUUCUUUCUUCAUGUACAAUGUUCUUGUGUUGCGUCUCGUACCUGUGUCCAUGAAAGUAUAUAUCUCAUAAAAGUAAACUAUAUGCAUAAGUAUACGAAUCCUCUCUUAAAGUAAGCAUAGGCUAGCCUAAUUUGGGUGUGAGGAAUUCGCCAAGGACCCCGAGCCUCUAGUCUCAAAGAGUUGUGAGGUCGCUCUCAGCAUGCUUGAGUUUGAAAAAUCUGGCAAAUCUUUUGAGUACCUUUUCAUGCAAGUUCCUGUUGUUGGGGAAGCUGCUUAAUCAUUGGAAGGGAAACCUUCUAUGUCAGAAGCAUUUUCCUAUCGCUCCUUGAGGUUUAUCAUACUAUAUACUUGGUGAUAUACAAGAUUUAAAUUAUUUUGACACUAAGAAGAGGAUUGUUCUUGACCCGGAUAUCAAACCAACAAUAAAUUGUAGAACAUUAUCAGGGACGUUGCUCAUCUUCUCCAACGAAACUCGUCUGUUACUAUUCUCCAUGCUGGGAGGGUAGUCAACCAUUUGGCUCACCAGCUAGCUGCUCUUGGAAGAUGUCAACCUCAGAUCUUGAAGCUGCUUGAUCAAGGCUUCUUUGAUGUUGUUCCUCGCCAAACUUUUGCUUCAACUGUCACCUUCACUCGGCAUUUUGUCAGCAACUUUAUUUUUAGUUAUUUCUUGCUUUCUUUGUCUUUCUGUAAUCUUUUCUAUUCUAGGAGUGGUCUUACCACUUAAUCCUCUUUUGUGUUAAAAAAAAGAGUUUGUGAGGUACCAAAUUGGGCUUAUAUUAACUCCACUCACUCUAGUAACGGCUUUCCUCUUACCUGUCAUUCUAGAUUUUAUGAAAAACAAAUGAUAUCAUGUUCAUUUUGAAUCUCUGCAUUCGGAUUCUGUUUUCAAAUUUUUUAUGCUACCUACUAUGCAGAUUGAGUUCAAGGCACAACUAUGAUGUUCAUUUCAUAUUCUUAUUGUUUUUUGUUUUGUUUUUGCUUUACAUCUAAUUCACUCUGCAUCUUUGAAUAUGAAAUAAGUAUUGUGAUAUGCAUUCUCUCCUGGCAACUCUAAUUUAGUAUGGCUAUCCGUUUUGUUUAAUUUGUUUUUAUAAUUUGAUUACAACUUGAUCUGAGUUUUCUACUCUCCUAUUUAACAUCUCUCUUUCACACACAUGAUUAAGGCUAUAUCUUAGCAUGGUUUAGAGUGAUUGGAAGACAUAGAGUAUUGAGCCCUAAAAAUCGCCCAGUUGUGUAAUGAAAGAUUGAGAGAGUUGUCUAAAUGAAAGGAAUGUGUAUUAUAUGGUAUUAUAGAAUUUAGUUUCAUAGUCUUAAGGGAAUGCUUCACUUGUAGGAAUUAUGAUUGGCGGUGCAAAUCAGAAAAAUUGGAGUGGUUUUUAGCUACAUGUUUCAGUUUGGGAUUUGAAUGUGAUGAAAAUCUGCAAUCUAGCAGUUCUUCUGUACAUGUUUGUUUGAAUUUAAAAUGUUUUUCCUGCUGCUGUUGAACUCAGGAAAAUUCUUUGCCAAAAGAUGAGAAGCCUGUUGACUGAAAAUCUGUUGAAUUAGCAAAGGUUGAGACUGCAGCAGAAGCUGCUCCCGAGAAAACUAAAGAAGCACCUGCUGCUGUAGAAGAUAGCAGUGAAGCUCGCACCCUCUGCUCCAGCUGUUGGGAGCAGUGAGGCUCAAGCUGAUGAUGCUCAAACAAGCAAUGAGGAUGAUGCUCCAGCAGCUGAGGAAAGCAUUGAAGCUCCAGAGCAAAAAAGAAGCUCUAGAGCAAGAAGAAGCUAGAAAAAUUAAUGGUCAUUUUACUAUAAAAAAAAAAGUUAAAUGAGAUUAUCGAUUAUGCUUUAUAUUGUUACUAGGUGUACUAAAACCUAUUAGCUCAAGUGGUAGAGCACUAUGCAAAUGCAUAGGGGAUGUAGGUUCAAUUCCUACAUAGGUUGUCUCUAAAACUAAAUGAAAAACGCUUAAAGUAAAUUAAACAGCAUUGAAGUAAAUAAAAAAAACUCAAAAGUAAAUAAAAAACACUCAAAAGUAAAUAAAUCAAAAACAGAUGAGGUGAACUGGAAUUGCAGGAACUGGAAUUGCUCUAGAUGCUUGUCUUCUCACAAAGCAUCUAAAAACAUUCGGUGGAAUUCAAUGGGAGAUAACAAGCAAGGUUUGGGUGGAGCUAUUAUGUGAUGCUGCUAUGCUUUGCUCACCCAAGUCCCAUGGCGUGCAAUAAAGCAAGUGAAUCGCUAAACAUCGCCCGCAAAUUACCAUAUAA